UCGAGAGGCUUUGGCAAUGGGGAAACCCUGACCAAGCGACGCCGCGUGGAGGAUGAAGGCCCUUGGGUUGUAAACUCCUUUUGCAGGGGAAGAAAUGCGAUCAGGUGAAUAAUCUGGUCGUUUGACGGUACCCUGCGAAUAAGCCCCGGCUAACUCCGUGCCAGCAGCCGCGGUAAUACGGGGGGGGCAAGCGUUGUUCGGAAUUACUGGGCGUAAAGGGCUCGUAGGCGGCCAACUAAGUCAUACGUGAAAUCCCUCGGCUUAACCGGGGAACUGCGUCUGAUACUGGCGGGCUUGAAUUCGGGAGAGGGAUGUGGAAUUCCAGGUGUAGCGGUGAAAUGCGUAGAUAUCUGGAGGAACACCGGUGGCGAAGGCGGCAUCCUGGACCGACAUUGACGCUGAGGCGCGAAAGCCAGGGGAGCAAA
rnacentral:rRNA from 1 species